rnacentral:lncRNA from 1 species
ACAUUACAGCUAACAUUCCAUGUAAAACUGAUCGUGAUUGUCCGGUACUUUCCGUCAACCAUGUUAGUCCAAAACCUAUAAAAAUGAAAUGUCGUAAAGGUUUUUGUCACUGACAAUCAUAAAGCUCCAAAGAUUAUAGGAUUGUUAGACCCCAAAAGAAUCCACAAAUUCACUACUCCAUGAAUUCUUGUUUAGUUAUUGUGAUCAUCCAUUAAAUGAUUUUUUUUUUAUAAUUUUUUAAUUUCAGGUACCUUGUAAGAUGAUGCAAAUGAAAUUAAAUAAAGCAUAAAAAAUAUUAUAUAUGGUUUCUUCUUCUAUAUCUUAAUUUUGAGAUAUCAUCAUGGUCUUUCAUUCAAGC